GAAGAAGAAUAAAAUAUGGCCAAAAAAAAGAUAAUUUGUGAGUAGAAACACUUUAGAAAUAAACAACGCAAAAACACUAAUGUGUGUGCUUGCAUUUUUGAUAGUUGAUAGAUGAUGGCGACAAAAAAUGGUUUAUUACAUAAUAUCAUGGAAACAAAAAGUACUUUUCGAAAUAGCAUACCCAUACGUGCACAACCAUCAUCAUCAUGUAUACACAUCAGUGUACAAAUAUUAUCGGCUAACACACUCACACCUAUGUAUGUCUGUUAUAACAACAAAGAGAUUUCAAGAAAUAAGUUAGAAACAACAAAUACAAUGAAAAUAUAAACGAAAACAAACAAAUAUUUAACAAAAAAAACAUUCACUCUCACAAAUUCAGACACAUGGUCAAUUCGUGGCAAAGUGUAUGUGUGCUUGGCUGGUUUGCCAAAGAAAACGAAAGACUAAAGACACAAACACGAUUGUUUAGACAAACACACAGACAAAAUGGAAUUUAUUGGUAAAUAGUACAGUACAGUGAUUCCAAAGGGAAAAAUCAAGAAAAUUAUCAAAAAUAUUAUUGGAUUUUUUAAAAUUUUUGUGGUUUUCGAAACCUUAGAAAAACACACAAGCCAAAAUCUUCAUUUGUUUCUAGUAACUCUAGAACGGACCUUCGAAGUCGCUUACAGCUUUGUUAUCAAGAAGUUCAAUAUAUUUCAGAGUCAUGAAUACCGUAUAAGUAUAUAUUUUUAUAUAGAACAUUUGUUUUCAAAUGCGAAUAAUUUCAUUAUCUAGCCUUUUUCAACCACAUUGCAACAAUUUCUGCUGGUAUUGUUUUAUGAAUUUCAAAUUGGCUUCACUUGGUGGAAAUAUCAGCUUAACAGUCUCUAUCAAGCACAUACAUCAUCCAACGAUGUACGAACAUUUUGUGGCUCCACGAAUUCACACAUAAUGAAGCCGAGAAAUAAAAGCAAAUAAGUGCAAAUGGUGCCAUGCACCAAGCUAUCGACAAGAAAUUGCAUUUUUCACUGUGGGAUUUCUUACGAUUUUGUUUUCAGUUGUUGCUUGUGUUUUUUUGUUUCUUGUCUUUUUCUCUUUGUUUUUGUGGAACUACAGCUGUUUACAGAUUUCUACCACUUGAACAGUCAACAUCUCUCACCUUAUAUAGAAAGAUGAGUUGCAGUUUUGGGACCAACUGCAAGAUGGCAACUUGUGGUUAAAGCUGUAAUUUACCUACAUCAUAAACUUUGGCAUUUGUUAUGUUGCGGUUUGGUAUAUAUAUGUGUGUGUAUGUGUUUUUCUGUCGUUUUUUAUUAUUUCUUUGGAAAUCGUUGUAACCAGAGGCUGCAGAUGCUUUCACUUUAUCACCGUCAUCAUUAUCACUGGACCUGACAGUUCAUGAAACAACUUGGCAAAAUCGUUCAUAUUUAAAUGAACUUUUCUUUGCGGCAAGACACGAUUAAUUGAAUUUGAAUUGAAAUGUAAUGAAAGAAAGAAGAAAUAAAUAAUAAGAGAAACGGGUAAUAACAAUAUUGUUCAUGCCACUAAAUGUAAAUUUGCAUUUAAUCGCAUUGCCAUUAUAAUAGACUGUGAGGACUAUAUAUCUCUGCUGCCAUCGCCAUCACCUUUUUGCACGUUGUUGUAAUUGGGUUUAUUGUUGAAAUCAAUUGUUGCAUGUUUUAUGGAAAUUUGCUUCAUUGAUUUCAUUAUUACUACUGCUGCUGCUGCUGUGUUGCUGUUGUUGUUCCUAUUGGUAUUUACAAUGCAUGCAAUUGUUGCUAGUUAAGUUACCUUCGGUUGCAUUUCAAUGCAACGAAAACAAAAAACAAGCAUCAAACAAACAUACAAACGGAUACUGAUCUCAGCCAUGCAUUUCUGUUGGUAUGUACAUACAUACAUACAUACAUAUAUAAGAGAAUAGGUUUUAGCAUUUAAUUUAUGGCUCUAGAUUUGUGGAAAAUGCACAGACAUCCAUAGAUGUGUCCAUUUUAGUUUUUGUGGCUAGUUGAUUUUAUGAAACGAUUUUUUUCGUUUUUUUUUUUUUUGCCAAUUGUCAUGAACCGUAUCGCAUCAAUAAAUGCGAUUGUAGUGGUUUAUGCCUUCCUGUGUGUUGCUGAAAUUAUGUGGGCGUUUAGAUGAUGUCACAUAUCUUCCUCUCUCCACAAAAAUUAAAACUCAACAAUAGUUGGAUAAUAUAUUUCAAACUCACAAGUGUUAAGUAAGAGAUGAAUCCGAGAAAAUAGUUAUGUAUCAUUGAUAUCCAGACGAAACGUCUUUGGCUAAGAUAGCAGUGUUGUCGAUUAGAAUCACCAGUUCCGAGUACUUAAAUUCCGUAUUAUAAAUACGGCUAAUGGCUAUGUUAAAUAUAUAUUUACUUAUUAUAUUACCCUUAUGGAUGCUUAUUUCGAAUUUUAUGAUAGUUUUGGUUAUUCAACACUUUGAUCCUUUGAGUGGGAGGUACCAGAAGGAAUGGUACGACCUGUACAGAUCUUGUGCUGAUAGAAAUAUGAAGAUGUGCCAAGUGUCAAAACAGAUCUCGUGUUAUCGAUAAUGUUGCGAUGUGUGGAAUAUGAAGGGAACCGGAUGCUUAUUUUGAAUUUUAUGAUCGUUUUGGUUAUUCAAAUCUUUGACCCUUUGUGUGGGAGGUACCAGAAGGAAUGGUCCAAUCUCUACCAUAUUUAUAACAGAUCUUGUCCCGAUAGAUAUAUUUAGAUGUGAAUGGAAUCAGAUGUUAAUUUCUCGUUUUAUGAGCUUUAUGGGUAUUCAAAAUGUUUAACCUUGGGGGGGGGGGGGGGUACCAGAAGGAAUGGAUCGAUAUAUUCCAUCUUCACACCAGACCUUAGGUUAACAAAAGUAUUGUGAUGUGAGUAAUUUGAAGACAAUCGGAUACUUAUAUCACAUUUUUUAAGAGUUAUAAUUAUUCAAAUUCUUGACCCUUUGUGGGAGAGGUACUUAAUGAAGUGGGCAGUACCAAAUGUCAGUACCAAACAGAGCACAGAUUUCCUCGUUAUCUUUGUGGAGGGAUUACUCGAAGAGUGGGAGUUUUAUAUAGAGUUUUCUCUUAAGGCUUUUGUUUUGCGUGGAAGAGCUCCCUAGUUUUCAUCAGAUAUGUCAUAUAUAAUGUGGAAAAUGGCUAUCGCAUUUUUAAACAGAAGUAAUACUUCAAAAAAUCGUUUCAGACUUUGUAAUCACUUCAAAGUUGUGAAAACUUUGUAAAUCUGCAAUAACCGUUUCUGUUUACAAUGUGAUCGAUAACUUAAUAUUGUCACGCUAACUGACAUCAUCAACGAACCUUAACCGGCAAAUGUCACAUGAUGCAUUACACAACCUGUAAUGAAUGCAUUGCCUGCUUAGCCCUCCUCCCUCCCCCCGUCAAUCAUUUCACAUUCUAAUCUAUUGAACGAAAGUUCAUUUACAUCAGUCGCCAUUUAACUUUCGCUUAAUGGCCUGAGGAGGUCGGCUUGAGUGUACAAUACCCUCUCUUAACUCUCCAUAAAUAGAUAUAUCUCUGGCUGUCACAAUAAUUAUAGUCUAUAGACCAUUUAGUGAAGUUAAUGCUGGGGCUUUUCCAUUUUUUGUUUUGUGAAAAAUAGAAACUAAUAAAGCAUGAAAUUAAUUUCGUUUAAUACCCGGUCAUUUAUGACAAAAAAAAGACAACAACAAAAACAAUAGACCAAUAUUAUGAGUAAACGAUUAGAUGAGGAGCUAUGAAUAUUUUCGUCUUGCUUUGUACUGUGUCGGCAAAAUGAUUUGCAUGCGGAAAAUCCAUUGUUUCCAUGGAGCAACAAAAUAGCUUGCAAUUUUCAGUUGCUGGAAAUCAACAACAAAUUAUGAUGAACCUUGACGAUAAAAAAUGCCAGAUAUAAAAUGAAAACAACUACAACAACAUCAACAGUACUAAUCAGUGCCAUGGUACGGACCGGACCAAACCGGACCACCAACCAAUGAAACGUGCGGACAAUUUGCUGUGAUGGUUAAAUGUUUGUCUCUGCAAUUCAUCUAUUGUGAAACUAAUCGUUAUUUAAGUAUUCUUUGAUUACCAUUUAAUUGCUCAUCAUGAAUGUAUGGACAUUAAUGUUCUUAAAAACUCCGAGAAAAUGUUGAUGAUGAUUCGAUUUGUAAACACUUUUUUAUCUUUGAUACUAAAUAAUUUGUCUCUGAGAAUAAGAGGUAAUAAAACAUUGAACAGAUUUGUUGAAGUCAAUCAAGAAAUUCUCAAAGAAGCCCUAACUAUUUGAUUUAGAUUUUUAGGCAGUCUUUAAAAAUAAAAUCAAUGUUUAAUUAUUAGCAAAGAAAAUAGGAAACUGGUGAGAAUUGGUAGCUCAGGCAGAGAAGACCGCCUUCCAUUUCUUUUUUUGUUUUUGCACUACUAAAAAAAAACAUUUUCAUUAGAAAUAAUUGCAAUCUAUUUUAAAAUAAUAAAUUGUAUAUGACAUUCCAAUAAGUAAAAGCUGGUUCUG